CUUCAGUGAACAUUCAACGCUGUCGGUGAGUUUGGGAUUAAAGUGAAAACCAUCGACCGUUGAUUGUACCCUCCAG
rnacentral:pre_miRNA from 12 species